rnacentral:rRNA from 1 species
CCCAGACUCCUACGGGAGGCAGCAGUGGGGGAUAUUGCACAAUGGGGGGAACCCUGAUGCAGCGACGCCGCGUGGGUGAAGGAGCGUUUCGGCGCGUAAAGCCCUCUCGGCAGGGAAGAAGGAGGACGGUACCUGACUAAGAAGCCCCGGCUAACUACGUGCCAGCAGCCGCGGUAAUACGUAGGGGGCAAGCGUUAUCCGGAUUUACUGGGUGUAAAGGGGGCGCAGACGGCAGCGCAAGCCAGGAGUGAAAGCCCGGGGCCCAACCCCGGGACUGCUCUUGGAACUGCGCGGCUGGAGUGCAGGAGGGGCAGGCGGAAUUCCUGGUGUAGCGGUGAAAUGCGUAGAUAUCAGGAGGAACACCGGUGGCGAAGGCGGCCUGCUGGACUGCGACUGACGUUGAGGCCCGAAAGCGUGGGGAGCAAACAGGAUUAGAUACCCUGGUAG